AGACACUUCAGAGUGUGACCCGUCCUCAC
rnacentral:piRNA from 1 species